rnacentral:rRNA from 1 species
CCCUUAGAUGUUCUGGGCCGCACGCGCGCUACACUGAUGCAUUCAACGAGCACCCGCUGGGCCGAGAGGUCCGGCUAAUCUUUGAACGUGCAUCGUGCUGGGGAUAGAUGAUUGCAAUUAUUCAUCUUCAACGAGGAAUUCCUAGUAAACGCAAGUCAUCAGCUUGCAUUGAUUACGUCCCUGCCCUUUGUACACACCGCCCGUCGCACCUACCGAUUGAAUGGUCCGGUGAAAUCUCGGGACGGCGGCUUGGUCGCUUGCGUCCGACUGCUGAAACUUGAUUAAACCAUAUCAUUUAGAGGAAGGUGAANUCGUANCA